ensembl:lncRNA
CGACUGUUCUCGUGAGCCCAUGCAGAAGGCCACUGUAUUCUCAAGGGAUGGCAAAAGGUACACUGGACGCUGCUGUCAAUUUUUGUGACUUCUGAGAGUCUGCAGGAAGGUAUGGUAUAGGUUCAGAGCCAAAGUAUAUGGCUAUCUAUUCUUAGACAGCUGUCUCAGUUAAACUACUUUGACUGAAGGAUAAAAAUCUUGCAGGGAACUGUCUUAAAUCCCAAGCAUCGGAGAAAAAAGAAAAAAAAAAAAAAGAAUCAUUUCACUCAUUCAAACAAUGUUGGUCUAUGAAGAAUCAAAGUUAAUAACAUUCCCACUGGUGUGUGCCACAAGAGGGAAAGUUCUGGAACAGAAUGUAGCAUUAGGAAUACAGUGGG